UCAAUUUCAAAAAAAACCAGAUCAGUUCUCUCUCUCCUCCCCACGCUACUCUCCGACUCUACAUCGACCCCCUCGCCGUCUCCGAAGUCGAUGUCGUUUGCGCCUAUCCUUCUCCGGCUGGAGCCGAGUCGCCGGUGACCAUUGGACCUCCAUAUCCGACUGGAAAGCGACCUAGAGACGAACUGGAAGCCGACGACAAUCAUGAAGACGACGGGAGCUGCGGUUGAGAUUAGGCGCUUGAGACUCGAUCUGUACCUAUAGCUUCUUCUUCCUCAUCGCAGAUUUCGCUCGCCUCUACUCCGCCAUCGAGUCCGACAUUGAAGCUGCUCUUCAGAAAGCGGAGCUUGCUUCAAAAGAAAAAAGUAUGGCAUCUGCAGGUGCUCUGACUGCCAAGAUUCGCCGGACCAAGGCUCCAUUGCUUGAAGAGGUUCCCAAGUUGCAGAGAUUGGCUGUAAAGAAGUCCUCUGCAUAUAUGCUAGAACUUGUUUAGCGCUGGAAGGUGAUUUUGGAUGGGUAUUGAUUGGACAAAAGAUGAUUGCUUUUGAAGAGAAUUCUUGGCAGCUAGCAUAUCUGCCUGAUAAAAAACUGGAAUAUGUGAUUGAUGAUGAUGCUCUAAGUCAUGCUUCCGAGCUUUCAGUGGAAGGAAGAGAUGAUAUCACUAAUCUUGAUGAGUUGGUCAAGGAUUACAAAAGAAACAGAAGACGUGGAAUGCUCGGAUGGCUUAAACUGAAACAGUCCAAAGUUGGAGAUAGGCUACACACAUCAAUGGAUGUCAGUUAGUGAAUCCAGCGCUCAAGAGUUGGAGAGUUCCAUGAAAGUUUUGACAAAAGUGGACUUGGACUUGGCAUAUUCUGCUGAGAAGUUGGCAAAUCUACAGGAGCUUAUGAUGCGCCUAUUCUCUCAAGAAAAUGAUCUUGAAGCAACGGCCACCGCAAAUAACUAUAUCAUGAGAAACUAUUGUGAUUCAGAUUUUUCUAGAUUUUGUUUUAAAAAGUUUGUCAUUUCACUAUCUAUAAGGCUAAUGUUGUGGUAUAUGGUUUUGACUGAAAAUCUAGCAGUCUUUUUCCUACUUGUUCUGGUUUUUGUAUGUAUAUUUGUUAAAUCAGAGGAGUAUAGUUAUGAUUUUCGCAAUCAAGCCUUCUUUGAUUUGCAUUAAGCCCUCUUGUAGUCUUUCCAAUAAUAUCUAUUGUUUCGUUUGUCCA